UCAGUGGUUUUAUUCAAAACCAGACUUAUAAACAACAAAGUUUGCU
rfam:Ficedula albicollis isolate OC2 chromosome 1A, whole genome shotgun sequence.